UGGGGAAUUUUGGACAAUGGGCGAAAGCCUGAUCCAGCAAUGCCGCGUGUGUGAAGAAGGCCUUCGGGUUGUAAAGCACUUUUGUCCGGAAAGAAAUCCUUGGCUCUAAUACAGUCGGGGGAUGACGGUACCGGAAGAAUAAGCACCGGCUAACUACGUGCCAGCAGCCGCGGUAAUACGUAGGGUGCAAGCGUUAAUCGGAAUUACUGGGCGUAAAGCGUGCGCAGGCGGUUUGCUAAGACCGAUGUGAAAUCCCCGGGCUCAACCUGGGAACUGCAUUGGUGACUGGCAGGCUAGAGUAUGGCAGAGGGGGGUAGAAUUCCACGUGUAGCAGUGAAAUGCGUAGAGAUGUGGAGGAAUACCGAUGGCGAAGGCAGCCCCCUGGGCCAAUACUGACGCUCAUGCACGAAAGCGUGGGGAGCAAACAGGAUUAGAUACCCCUGGUAGUCCACGCCCUAAACGAUGUCAACUAGUUGUUGGGAUUCAUUCCUUAGUAACGUAGCUAACGCGUGAAGUUGACCGCCUGGGGAGUACGGUCGCAAGAUUAAAACUCAAAGGAAUUGACGGGGUCAUAGCUGUUUCCU
rnacentral:rRNA from 1 species